rnacentral:rRNA from 1 species
UACGAAGGGGGCUAGCGUUGCUCGGAAUGACUGGGCGUAAAGGGCGCGUAGGCGGAUUAUGUAGUCAGGCGUGAAAUUCCCGGGCUUAACCUGGGGGCUGCGUUUGAUACGCAUAGUCUUAGAGUGCGGAAGAGGGUCGUGGAAUUCCCAGUGUAGAGGUGAAAUUCGUAGAUAUUGGGAAGAACACCGGUGGCGAAGGCGGCGACCUGGUCCGCAACUGACGCUGAGGCGCGAAAGCGUGGGGAGCAAACAGG